rnacentral:rRNA from 1 species
AUGGGAAGCUCCUCCACCACCAACGACAAGUGGGAUGAGGCGGCCGGCGCCCUGCACGCGAACCGAACCCGGCAAUCCAGAUGGGAUGGGGAUGGUGGCGACCUGCAGGAGUCUCAGGUGCCGGCGACAACCGAUGGGCAGCAGGCACCUCCUCCCCACCGCCAGGAGCUGCGUGGUGGUGAUGCCGGAAGCGACAAGGCUCACCACGCCUUCGACAAGAACACUGCCACUGCUGCUAACCGCGAGUACUCCUCCUCUGGUACUAUCGUUCCUCCUUGUGAUGCUUGUCAGAUCUGCCAUCUUCCUGGGCAUUUCACUGUUAGGUGUCCUCAGGCUCUCUGUGAUAGAUGUAAAAAGAGAGGUCACCUGUCCUUUGUCUGCAAUGAGUUCUUUCCUUGGGAUUACACACCUGUGAUGUGUGCUUUUCAAACUAAGGGUCAGGGCUUCUUUUACAUUCCUGAUUACAGCGUGGAUAGGCAGAGUAGGGAUAACAUUUUCAACAUUGUUGUUACCAUUACUGAUGGCUCUGCUCAGACCAAAGAUAUUGAACAUGAGUUGAGUGUUUACGUUGUCCAGGGAUGGCGAUGCUCUGCUAGAUUCUUUACUCCACAAAAGUUUGUCAUGAGAAUGCCGAACCCUAGAGAGGUUGACAGAGCUCUUUUUGUUGAAAAUAUUAAAUUGAAAAAGUGUGGGGUCAGUGUCAAGUUUUCUCCUUGGUCUGAGGAUAUUGAUUCUGAGGGACUGUUAGAGAUUGCUUGGGUUAAGAUCGGAAAAAUUCCACCUAACAAGAGAUGUGAUAAAACUGUAGCUUAUGUGGGAGGC